rnacentral:lncRNA from 1 species
GAGGAGAGGAGAGGCGGGGGAGAGCAUCCCCUCUCUGCUGCUGCUGCUGCUGGAGCUGUGCUGGAGCCGGAGCCGUCGAUGUGGCUCCCCAGAGUUAGUUGCUCAGCAACCAGAAUCAAUUAAUAUGCUUUGCAGAAAGUGCAGGGAAAGCCCGAGCUGCUGUCGGCGAGCAGGCAGGAGGCUGACUCAGGAUCCCACUCCUGCCUGACACCCAUUUGGUCCCACCCCAUCUUCUCCAAACACUGAUAACCACCGUUCUUUUUCCCUCUUCGCUUCCCCACGUCCCUCUGAUGACACCACACAUCUGGGAAUGAAGAACUUCUUAGAGCUGAUUGGAAAUGGCAUUGCGGAGCUGAAACUUAACUGGAGGAAAUAUAUCUCCUGAAGAAGAAAAUAUAAUGCACUGUAAGGAUCUGUCUUCUGGUGAAAAAUUCAAGCCUAGAGAAAACUUGUCUGCUUUGUUAGGAAGAAUGGGUUGGACAAUUUUCUUCAAUUCCAAAGGAUAUCUGAAUGCCAUGCUGAGCCUAAUCUCUGCAGCAUGCUCUGUGCUUCUCAUCUCUUCCUGAUGCACUGCAUGGUUAUUCUGAAGGGGAGGAUAAAGAAACUGGCCACCAAGAUGGUAAUCACAAGUGGAAAUGAAGAAGAUAAAGGCAGUCAAGAAAAGGAAAGCAAAGAAGAAACCAUCUUGGCAAUGCUUGGAAUUAUUGGGACAAUUCUGAACCUCAUUGUGAUCAUUUUUGUGUAUAUUUAUACAACGUUGUAAACUAGAAGGCAUGCAACUAGACCAGAUGAAAUGGCCAUUAAGAGUGACAACAAACACUGCUGACUAUUGACAAGUUCUUUAAUCAGAAUUGACUCUGUAUUAUAUUAACACAUCAUAAAAGCACUGCCUGAAGGCAGCGAAGACUGAAGCACAAUUAAUUUAAGAAGACUUUUUCACACAGUAAUAAGCUUAACUGUUCUCUUGCCUCUCCCUUUCGGUUUGGUUUUCAGUUUGGGGGAGAAUGACUGCAGUUAUAUAAGUUGUAGCUUUGAAGAAAUCCACCAGGGAUAUGUUGUUUUAACACAAAAAAAAAAAAAAACAAAAAAAUAAGAAAAAAAAAAAAAAAAAAAGAAAGGAAAAGAAAGAAACUGCAACCUAUAUAUAAUUAGAAAUGUAUGCUGUAUACCUGCAAAGAUUGAACUCAAAGAUAGCUUCAUAGCACAGAUCAUGUGUCUGUUAGGUCAAAUGUUUUUUUCUCUUGGUUUUUGCUUUUACUUACAUUGAAUCUGACAAGCUUUUUAUUUAGAAUGAACAUAUGGUGCAAUCAUGAAAAAAAAAAACAAUUCUGUUGAGCAAGUUCUGCCUAAACCUGAUAAAAUGUUGGGAGAAAUACAUUACAUGGUUAUUUUUCCUUUCUCAUUUGCUUAACAUCUGUGUUUGUUCAUACCAAUGUUUAUAAAUAUAUAUUUUUAAUAAAUGUGCUAUAUUUUUAGCA